rnacentral:lncRNA from 1 species
CACAUUAAGAACUCGAUCUCAAGAGAGAGAAGAGACCAUCAACUUGUGAUGAAAUCCUCACAAUAAACAUAAGUAGAACCGAAUCUAUGAGGAAGAAAACGAUUCUAUAAAGGGAAGGCAUCUAGUUUGAGACUAAUCUAAGCAAUGAACACAACACCUAGAGAGUUUGUGUUCUUGAGAUGCAGCGGAUUUAAGACUCAGUAAUCUAGAUGAGAGAAGCAAAUAAAGAAGAGUUUAGUGAGUGUUUCACAAGUAUUAGACUGCCAAAAGGCAGCCACUAAUCCGAAAUCUCUAUAAUCCUACAUUGUGUUUAUGAAUUAAACACAAGGUAAAGAGAGAGAGAGAGAAACGAAAAUAAGAACGAGAAAUGAGAGAUGAAUACUUGUGUAUUGAGUGUGUUCCCUUGUUUACAUAUUACAGCCCUUAUAUAGGGAAUUAAUCAAGUGUAAAUACAUGUAAACAGAGAUAAAAUGUCGCUGGAAUAAAGAGGAAGACAAAGUCACAUGUCUCCUUAUUUUUGUGUUCACACACGUGAAAGUGACAGCUGAUGGUCCCCUUUUGGUGUGUUCACACUCUUAAGAGUCACAUGUGAACUAAGGAGAGAACACAGCCUUUGAUGAGACAGAGACAGCUCCCAACGUCUCUCUUGACCAAGUGUGAACAGCAUCUUGAGCUGUAUGGUCUCUUAUCAGCUUCUAACGGUCUGAUCUUGAUCCGCAGCUCACAGCACAACUUGAUCUGUACGGACGCUUCUCGGUGUUCAGCCUCUAAGCGUCCUAUAUGCUGAUUCACUUAUCCAACUCCUUCUUAUCUCAACAUGUGAUCACUUAUCUGACUCCUCCUCAGGUCAACAUUGCCUCCUUUACACGUCUAAGUGUAAUUUAACUCCAUCAUUGGUCUUCUUUAAACCGCACCAAUGAUCAUCUUGAGUGGAGGUCUUCGGCCUUGUCUUCUUGACUUCGGCCUUGCCUCUUCUUCUCUUCUUUCCUCUCUAAUAC